AAGCCUUAUCCCACCACCAAGAUACCACUAGGCUAUAAUGCCAUGGAACGACGGUAUGACAACGAUGACUCAAUAAUUCGUCAAAGAGGAUGGAAUAAUUCAUGUCUAUGGGUGUCUUUGACAAACAUCAUUAUUUAUUGAUGGGGCUUCUUUGUAGUAAGCAUAUAUAUUCUUUAUAAUACCAAUGGAUAAACUAAUAAGAGUGGUUUAUACACAAGUUCAUUUGAUGAUUGAUGGGGCUUCUUUGUAGUAAGCAUAUAGAUUCUUUAUAAUACCAAUGGAUAAACUAAUAAGAGUGGUUUAUACAUAAGUUCAUUUGAUGAAACAAUGUUAUAUCUGCUGUGAAAGUAGUCUAUUAGUAAAAAAAAAAGUAUAAAAAUUACAGAUAGAAAAGGACUACAGUUAAUUACACAGAUAGUUUUUGUGGUUUAUUAAAAGUAACGUCUUUGAUUACUAACUUAUUUUUUUUUUUAACAGGCUCAGGUUAUAUAGUUUCGAUUUUGUAACACCUUUGAGUAUUAAGACUAACUUCCGUUAGUUUUUCUAUCAAAUCAACAUAAAAUGACUAAAAUUCCCUUAUUUAACUUUAUGUUAGUACUCAAAGAUUUUACUUUCAAUAAACCAUAAGAACUAUCAGUGUAAGUAACUCUAAAGAUAAGAUAUAUUACCAAAUGUCUAUUAGAAUUACGUUAUCAAAAACGACUCUUACUUCUCUAGCACCCUAACACGUUUUAACCGAAAACGUCGCAGCGGAAAUAUGAACCAUAAAAAUUUUCUUUCUUAUGUUGUUCUAGCGUACUUUAAAACAUUUAGGGGUUGUUUGUUUACCUCUUAAUGAUGCUCUUAAUUGUUCAGAUCUCUUACUGGUUCAGCACUUAAUGGUUCAGACUGUUUGU
rnacentral:lncRNA from 1 species